UCUUGCUUUUUAGACAUUUGAAUCCUGUAAUUGCGACUGGGGCAUUAAUCAUUCCAUCAUCACUUUAUUUUCUCCUCAAGGUUUUGCUACUCUUUUCAUCAACCUUUAUCAUUGUUUCCUUGAUGAAGAAAACAAAUUUUUUCAUAAAUGUUGGUUGAAAGAAAGGAGCUGAGUUUGUCACUCUUUUCAUCAGCCUUUAUCAUUGUUUCCGUGAUGAAGAAAACAAAUUUUUUCAUAAAUGUUGGUUGAAAGAAAGGAGCUGAGUUUGUCACUCUUUUCUUAAUGUUGAAACAGAGUUUUUCUCACUCGUUUCAUAAAGAAGGAGGACAUGUUUUAGGGAUCAUACUGAAGACUCUCAUGUGCAAAGAAAUUACAGGAGAAACAGAAGGAGAGGGUGAAACCAGUGGCCAACAUGCAUCAAAGGAGGGCAGAGAUGUCCUGCCAUUCCGAUGCUUUCAUCGCAUUAGUAGGUUCUAUUCUUCUUCUCUCAAUAACCCAUUUAAUCAAAUUCCUAAAGCCUUCAGGUUUUCUUAUUUCCUUUCCUAUUUCAGG